rnacentral:rRNA from 1 species
GGGCCCGCACAAGCGGUGGAGCAUGUGGUUUAAUUCGACGCAACGCGCAGAACCUUACCAGGGUUUGACAUCCUGUGCUCGCUGGUGAAAGCCAGUUUUCCCGCAAGGGACGCAGAGACAGGUGCUGCAUGGCUGUCGUCAGCUCGUGUCGUGAGAUGUUGGGUUAAGUCCCGCAACGAGCGCAACCCUCGCCUUUAGUUGCCAUCAUUAAGUUGGGCACUCUAGAGGGACCGCCGGCGGCAAGCCGGAGGAAGGUGGGGAUGACGUCAAGUCCUCAUGGCCCUUACACCCUGGGCUACACACGUGCUACAAUGGUGGUGACAGUGGGCAGCUAGACCGCGAGGUCGUGCUAAUCCCAAAAAACCAUCCCAGUUCAGAUUGUACUCUGCAACUCGAGUACAUGAAGGUGGAAUCGCUAGUAAUCGCAGAACAGCAGGCUGCGGUGAAUACGUUCCCGGGCCUUGUACACACCGCCCGUCACGGCAUGGGAGUUGGUUUUACCCGAAGACGGUGCGCUAACCCGCAAGGGAGGCAGCCGGCCACGGUAGGAUCAGCGACUGGGCCGAAGUCGUAACAAGGUAGCCGUAGGGGAACCUGCGGCU